UACGGAGGGUGCAAGCAUUAUCCGGAUUCACUGGGUUUAAAGGGAGCGUAGGUGGGUUGGUAAGUCAGUGGUGAAAUCCCCGAGCUUAACUUGGGAACUGCCAUUGAUACUAUCAGUCUUGAAUACUGUGGAGGUUAGCGGAAUAUGUCAUGUAGCGGUGAAAUGCUUAGAUAUGACAUAGAACACCAAUUGCGAAGGCAGCUGGCUACACAAUUAUUGACACUGAGGCUCGAAAGCGUGGGGAUCAAACAGG
rnacentral:rRNA from 1 species